GACUUUGGGGAAUUUCAAUGUUUUGCUUUUCAUCUUCCUGAGAGUCCAGAAGCCUCCCCGUCAGAAGUGUGUUAACAGCAGUUCAGCCCAUUUCAGGGUGAAGGACAGUUUGUCAUCUAACUGUUUUAACCCUCUUAGGGAGAAAGUACAUAGACUGAAAAGAAUUUGACUGAACGAAGACUCGAUCACACGCUGUGUACCCGCCCUGUUUUAUGAUGUGUCUGGCCGCAGAUCUCUGAUUUAGUCCUACCUGGAGUUCAUUGAACUUCUUGGAUAUGUAGAUUAAUGUUUUUCAUCAAAUUUGGGCUUGAAUUUCUCAUUCAUUUGGUAGCUUAGAGUCCCAGGAUUAAGAUAUGGUGAUGCAUGGAGGGAGAACCCCACUCUGGGAAGAGAAGAGCAACAGCAUCUCCUGUCUCCCUCAGUCCAGGCUUUGUGCCAGAUUAUCUCACGGAUCCUCACAAGUACACAGCCUAGGUGACUUAAAAGAAGAAGAGAUUAAGACACAGACAGAUACAGAGGAAAGAUUACAUGAAGACUCAGGAAAAUGACGCCAUCUACAAGCGAAGGAGAGAGGCCUCAGGAUAAAUCAACCCUACAGACACCUUAAUCUCAGAUUUCUAGCCUCUAGACUUGUAAGAAAAUAAAUUUCUGUUGUUUAAGUG
rnacentral:lncRNA from 10 species